GACGAACGCUGGCGGCGUGCUUAACACAUGCAAGUCGAACGGAAAGGCCCAGCUUGCUGGGUGCUCGAGUGGCGAACGGGUGAGUAACACGUGGGUGAUCUGCCCCUAACUUCGGGAUAAGCUUGGGAAACUGGGUCUAAUACCGGAUAGGACAAUCGUUUAGUGUCGGUUGUGGAAAGUUUUUUCGGUUAGGGAUGAGCCCGCGGCCUAUCAGCUUGUUGGUGGGGUAAUGGCCUACCAAGGCGUCGACGGGUAGCCGACCUGAGAGGGUGGACGGCCACAUUGGGACUGAGAUACGGCCCAGACUCCUACGGGAGGCAGCAGUGGGGAAUAUUGCACAAUGGGCGCAAGCCUGAUGCAGCGACGCCGGGUGGGGGAUGACGGCCUUCGGGUUGUAAACCUCUUUCGACAGGGACGAAGCUUUGGUGACGGUACCUGUAGAAGAAGCUCCGGCUAACUACGUG
rnacentral:rRNA from 1 species